rnacentral:misc_RNA from 1 species
GUUUUUUAUGUAAUUUCUUUUAAAAAAAAAAAUAUUGGUUACAGAACAAAAGAAACUUCGCUUCCCCAUACCAAAUUGUGUAAGAGCAUAUUGAAAGGCAACAUAAUAGCACCCUCAUAACAACUAUUCAACUCCCAGCGAAACCACGAAUAAUAACUAUUAUUAUUACAUUCAAAAGCAUCCAGGCAUGCGCCAAUAUAAUUACAAGCACACCCCUGCAAUGCAAAACCAACAAAUGGUAACUUAUGUCACUGUUAUAUAUCCUGCUCAAAUUGCAAUCCGAAGACACUUUUAAAAGGAAAAAUGCAUCUUUUGGAACUUUUUCCAAACACACCUGCCAAAAUAUAAAAUAAUUUAUCAGAUCCACAAGGAAAUAAGACAAAUACAGUAAAAUGGAGUUCUGAAACCAUCCAUUAUGUUAAUCAAUAAGGACUGAAAUGGCAAAGCAUCACACCAGAUCCAUUCUCUUCAACAUCCACGAUCGCAAAGGCAAAGGCAAUGAGCAGAAACUAUAUUGGACAUG